rnacentral:rRNA from 1 species
AGAGUUUGAUCAUGGCUCAGGAUGAACGCUGGCGGUAUGCCUAACACAUGCAAGUCGUACGAGAGUUUUUAACUCUAGUGGCGGACGGGUGA